GGGCCCUCCAUACAAUUUACGAAACCUGAUGCUGCCCUCAGGCCAAAAAGUUUGCCCGCCCCUGGUUUAACUGAAAAGUAGCCUAGGUACUUCUGAGCACUAUUGGAGGAAGUGGCAGGUUACUUAUAAAGUACUGCUGCAGGCAGAUAUUUAUCACAAAGACUUCAAAGGAAACUCUCCUCUUCCCAUGAGGCCCGGCUUUGGUAAUAACAAGUGCUUGAGAGACAGGUGGCAUGCUUUUUGGUUAAACUUAACAAGGGUGAGGUGGCUAAAGUAUAGUUCCACACUGCUCCUUACCUCAUGAAUUCAGCUGCUUUGCAGGCAGCAAUUUGUGGCCUAUAUAAAUUUGGCUCUUUGUUUACAUUUUUUUCAAUAGAAAAUGAGGAUUGAAAUGACUGGACCACAGACUGCUACUGAUGGUGCAUUUGUGUUAAGCUGCCUAAGGCCUUGUCUACACACAGUUUUAUUCCAGUUUAAUUAUUUCAGGAAGGGGUAUAAUUUUUCUACUAAAAUAGUUAAAUUGGUAUAACCCUAGUUAUGGAUGCAGUUGUAUCUGUUAUAGCUUAUUCCCCUUCUUUAUAGGAAUAGCUACGCUGGUAUAAGGCACCUCUAUGCAGAUUUAACUAAAUUGACCUACUGACACUAUACCAGGAUAGUUAAAGCCGUUCAGCCCCCUGGUAUAGAUGUAGUUAUCCUGGUAUUAAAGUACUUACAUAGUAGUAUGAUACUUACCUCCUUUGUAAAGUGCUUUGAGAUUUACUAAUGCAAAGUGCUUAUGUAAGAGCUAGAUAUUAGUAUUUCUGUACAGGAAGGGGAGUAAACUAUUGUAUAACUGCAUCCACAGUAGGGCUUUUACUGGUAUAACUGCUGUAAAAAAUCACACCCCUAACCAAAAAUAAUUACACUGGUGAAACUUUUAAAUGUAAAUCAGGUUCAGAUCAGUUGUUGGCUGUGGUUAUUUAGGGUUUCCCAUGCAUCCUGCCUACCACACACAGGUUGGCAGUGACUGCACUUAUGGAAAUGACCCCAUAUGCUCAUGCCUUCUGAUGGAGAAUGCAAAGCAGAGUAGGCUUUAAAUAUCUCCUUUUAGAAGUCUGAGCUAUAUUUAACUAUUCUGGAACUGAAUGAAAUUCCCAAACAAUAUAUCCUAAGAUCAGAUGUUAAAGAAAGGGAAAAAAUUGUAUUAAAACCAAACACAAAUAAUGUAUUUGGGUCUAAGACUCCCUAGCUUUUCUCAGGUAGGUCACAAAACUUUGAAAUUGCAGAUAUUUAGAACUCUCUGUAGAUAAUACUUGUAUUAAGAACUCACUUGUUGUCCCAGUUCUUCUCUGACCUUUAACAGGACAAUAUGUGUGCCUAGGAUUGAUUGAUUGUACUUCUGGAGUCAGCUCUUUUAUACUUACUUGGCUAUGCUAUAAUACCAGGAGAGGACAACACUCGUAUGAAGAAAGAAAGAGCAGUAUGAUGGAUUCAGAAGAUCUUGUCAUAACAAGUUCAAAGCAAGAUAUUGCUCAUCACAUUGUAAAAGUUAGCUCAGGUAAACAUUACUUUUGUGGAUAUUGUGCAGCCUUCACCAAUAUAGCAAUCACCUUUCCCAUCCAGAAGGUCCUCUUUCGACAACAACUGUAUGGAGUGAGAUUAAGGGAGGCAGUAUAUCAGUUACAGAAAGAUGGAAUCCGAAACCUGUACCGUGGACUCCUCCCUCCAUUAAUGCAGAAAACUACAACUCUUGCCCUGAUGUUUGGCUUGUACGAGGAUUUCUCCUCCCUGCUCCAGAGGCACACAAACGCACCUGAACUUGUGACUUGCAGUGUGGCAGCAGUGCUUGCAGGAACAUCAGAAGCUCUUCUUACACCUUUUGAGCGGGUCCAGACUUUGCUUCAGGACUACAAACAUCAUGACAGAUUUACAAACACUUACCAGGCUUUCAGGGUGCUAAAAGACUAUGGAAUUAAAGAAUAUUAUCGGGGUUUGGUACCUAUUCUGAUCCGAAAUGGACCGAGUAAUGUACUCUUUUUUGGCCUGCGAGGACCCAUCAAGCAGUGUCUUCCCGAAGCAACUUCUUAUAGUGCUCAUUUGGUCAAUGACUUUAUCUGUGGAGGGCUGUUGGGUGCCAUGUUGGGAUUCUUGUUUUUCCCAAUUAAUGUUGUAAAAGCUCGCAUGCAGUCUCAAAUUGGUGGGGAAUUUCAGUCUUUUCCAAAAGUUUUCAUGAAGAUUUGGCUGGAACGUGAUAGAAAACUGACACAUCUUUUCAGAGGAGCCCAUCUGAAUUACCAUCGCUCUAUUAUAUCCUGGGGCAUAAUCAAUGCAACAUAUGAAUUCUUGCUUAAGUUAUUAUGAAAAAUGUUACCUUCUAUGAAGUCUCUCUGCUCAGUUGGGUAUUGGCACAUUGAGGUCACUUAUUUCCUAGGAUCAAAUUUGUCAUAAUCAGACCUGUUCAUGAAUAACACUGAAAUUUGGAGAGUUUAAUUGCAAAAUGGUGGUUACAUUUCAGUAGGGAGAGAAGUAAUUUUUACCAGUGCCUGCUUAGUCUGAAAGUUAAUUACAUUCAAUCUUAUUAAUUGUCUUCAAUCUUUAUGGGGUGAAAGUUGGCAUUGUGUUUAGAUCUUAAUUUAAGAAAAAAUGGUUUGUUCAAAAGUGCUCUCUUUAUUAAAGUAUUUAGAUGCUGGAAGGUGAAUUCAGCCAUACCUGAAUAAACUAAUUGAAACUUACUUUCUAUUUAAAUGUUGGCUGUGGCCUAGAAACUUACUCCAGGUCACCCUCAACCUUUCUUAACACUCCUGGUGAUCAAAACUAUGCUUGAUUGUGCACUUUGUGGAAUAUGAAAGUGAGGGAGGCUGACAAAAGCUAUUUAGUUUCCCUACUUGGUAAACUUGGGAGGUCUGAUGUACCUGAUGCAGUUGUUGUAAGAGUAUUCUGAACUCCCAUAAUGUUUCAGGUUUCCCAGGUAUCUUUACUGUUUGAAACCAGACUGCCAACUUUGAAUGAGGAUGGUGUUACUUCUCAACUAAGCCUACAUGAAUGGUUUUUGCUGGUCUCCUAAUAUGAAUGCCAUCUGGUCAAGCAACAUAAGUUUCUGUUGCAAACAGGCAUGGCGCCAGAAAGAAGACGUGGUUUCUGCAACAUUAACACGUACAGAAGUAGUAUGAAAACUGAUGGGAGUCAAAGUACUUUGUAGACAGCUUUUGUUGUAUUAAGGUAAUUUAUGUCCUUUUGCAACUAUUUUUACUUGCUUCAUGUGAGGUUGUAGCAUAACUGAUCACUUCAGUCAGUAUUGUUAGCUGAAGCUUGCUCCACCCUUCCUUGUAUGCCUUGUUCAGGGUAUAUCAGUGUAGUGGAAAAGGCACUCCGAUACUACGGCGAGGAGGACCAUAUAAGCGCUGGGCUUGGGGGUUUCUCUGUGAUCAUUUAAUCAUGUUGAUAAACACUCUCAUAAAUAUUAAACAGAAGUAAUGUUGUACUUGGUAUUCAGGUGGAUGUGCUUUAAGGCCUUGGAGAAGAGAAGAGAGGGCAGGAACACAAGUGUGAUUACCAAACUAGUGGUCUUCAUAUAAAAAAUGACUUUGUAUAUUUUUAUGCAAGAAGGAUUCAUAAAGUAUUUUCAUAUUUUGUGGUGAACAUGAAAGCUUUCAGAAAUUGUUUUGGAUGGUUUUUUUCUUAAUUUUAGAGUGAACAUUACUUUUUUAUGUAUCCUUAAAUUUUCAAAUGCUUAUGGUUUUUACUUUCUUACUUUAUUUCAGUUGUCCACUUGACAACCCCCUAAAUAAUUACUCCCAAACAGUAUGCCCUAUUUCUUUAUAAUCUAUAGCUCUAUACUACUAAGCUUCACAGUCAAAGAUGGCCAAACACAAAUAAAGCACAUUGAUAUUUUGAAUGUUGUGAUUAUAUGGAUUUAAAUAUACUGUCUGUUGAAUGUUUUACUGGUGAAAUCUGAUUUUACCAGUGUAUUGUUUUUGUAACCUUUCCUUGAUGGAAUAAAACAAAAGUAAAUCUGU